rnacentral:tRNA from 1 species
GUCAUCGUGGCCGAGUGGUUAAGGCGACAGACUUGAAAUCUGUUGGGCUCUGCCCGCACAGGUUCGAAUCCUGUCGGCGACG